rnacentral:lncRNA from 1 species
GUCUUUAUAUCACUAAAUAAUAAGGUUAGGCAUGUAAGAAAUAAAUAGUUGAUAAACGUAACAUAAUAAAAAAGCGUAUCUAUUGUACUGUUGAGUCAGGUAUUUUGGCUUCUUGAUGUGACGCUGAAUCGUAACGUUGGAUCAGCUGUUUAGAUUCUCGAUAUAACGUUGGAUUAGUUGCUUAACCUCGCGAUGUUGGAUCAUCUAUUUAUGACAUUGAAUUGGCUGAUGAAUCUUUUAAUAUAGCGUUGGAUCAGCUGUUUAGCUUCUUGAUAUGAUGUUGGAUUGGUUGUUGAACAUCUUGAUGUUGGAUCAGCUAUUUGCCUUCUCGAUAUGAUUUUGGAUCGGCUGUUGAACUCUCAAUGUUAGAUCAACUGUUUGGCUUUUCGAUAUGAUGUUGGAUCGGCUGUUGAACCACUCGAUGUUGGAUCAGUUGUUUAGCUUCUCGAUAUGACAUUGGAUCGGCUGUUGGACCUCUCGAUGUUGGAUCAACUUUUUGCUUUUCGAUAUGAUGUUGGAUCGGUUGUUGAACCUCUCGGUGUUGGAUCAGCUGUUUGGCUUCUCGACAUGGAGUAACCUGUACUUGUUAAAAAUGGUUAGCACAGAUGUAUAUAAAGUUGAGUGAGAAAGAAAAUGUAUCUGCUAUAUUAUUCGAUCAACUGUUGAGCUACUCGUCUUGAUGUUGUCUGCUGGGCUCUUUGUGAUGGAGUGAUUCUUCCUAUCUGUACCUGUUAAUCCUGAACUCAAAGAAAAAUUGUGAGUUUGUAAAAAGGGGAGGUUGAUUUGUGCUUCCACCUUGACUGAAGUGUCCUCCUCUUAAUGCCGUCGUCUUUGUUGAUAAGUUUUGCCCGGGCCUUUACUCGGGUAGACAGAUAGAAACUAAAAGAGAAAUCAUUUUCGAAAAUAAAGAUCAUGUUUUAAAAGAAAAUUUUCUUUUGAAAGUUGUAAGAAAAAUGUGUUAGAAUAAACAUGAAAAUUUUGUCGAAUCAUUGAUUGUGACAUGUUUUGAGACGACGCAACAUUUUGUGGAUCCUUGUUCACUUGUUAAGAAAUUUUUGAUGAUUACUCAAAAAUUUCUUCCCCAGUAUAGGACUAACUCGUUGUAGGAAUUCCACAGUCUACUUAUUGGAAUUUUUGAGGUCGUCUCAAAAAUUCUACCCCAGUUUAUAAUUUAUGCCGAUGUCAUGCCCAUGUAGAAUUUUUGAGGUCCUCUCAAAAAUUUCGCUCCAGUUACAGUCUUAUAUUCCUACACCACUCAAAAGAAAAUAUCAGUACAUAGUAAAUUAAAUGUCCCGGCGACUCUUCGGAACUUGUAAGUGUCUAUUUAAACCUGCAAAAGCAAAAUACAAGGGAAAGCAAACAAGAAAAAAAACAUCGAAACAUUCCUACAAACAUGUUUUCUAAAGGUUUUCCCAACGUCAUACAAUCAACAGAUAGAGAACGAAAAUCGGGUUGAAUAAGGACUUACCGGUAAGCAGC